rnacentral:ncRNA from 1 species
UUGUCUUGAUUAAAAAUUAAUUAAAGCGAAAAUUAGAAUGGGAAUUUAGAUUUUGGUAUAAUACCAUGCAUUAAAUCCCAAUGAUAAAUAUUAAACUAUGCUAGAAAUAGUAAUUUAGUUCAGCUUUCCAAGCUCGACAAACUAGGUGCCAGCAGUCGCGGUCAUACCUGGGAGCUACUUUAAUUCGAUUAGAUUGGCUUCAAAAAAAAUAAAAUUUUAAUAAGCUAGUAAAAUAGUUAUUAAAACAGAGUUUACCAUUUUUAAUUAACCCUUUUGCCAAAACUCUGAAGAUAAACUAGGAUUAGAUACCCUACUAUAUAGAGCCCGAAUCCGGAAUCUAAGCACUAAGACUUUUUCAGUUAAAACUUAAACGACAUGGCGGCAGCUUCAAAUUUCAGGGGAACUUACCAGAUAAAUGACAACCCCCAAACUAUUCUAUUCCUUUUUAAAGUUUGUAUAUCGCCGACGUCAAAACCCACUUGAAGUGCAUUUGAAAUGUUUAAAAACAAAAGGCCAGGCCAUGACGCAGCCAAUAAAGGAACCUUAAGGUGAGUUACAUUAACAAUUAGUUAUUUUUCAACUGAAAUGAAACAAUUCGGUACCCAGAAAAUUGGACUUGAAAGUAAAUAUUAAUAAAAAUACUUAUUGAAUAUUAAUUUUAGCUGUGCACAAAUCGCCCGUCACUCUCGUUGACAAAAGGAGAUAAGUCGUAACACAGUAAGGAUACUGGAAAGUGUCCUU